rnacentral:rRNA from 1 species
CUUGGUGUUUGGGUGGCGCAGCUAACGCAUUAAGUUAUCCGCCUGGGGAGUACGGUCGCAAGAUUAAAACCCAAAGGAAUUGACGGGGGCCUGCACAAGCGGUGGAGCAUGUGGUUUAUUUCGAAGCAACGCGCAGAACCUUACCAGCGUUUGACAUCCCGCGCUACUUCCAGAGAUGGAAGGUUCCCUUCGAGGACGCGGUGACAGGUGCUGCAUGGCUGUCGUCAGCUCGUGUCGUGAGAUGUUGGGUUAAGUCCCGCAACGAGCGCAACCCUCGUCCUUAGUUGCCAUCAUUCAGUUGGGCACUCUAAGGAAACCGCCGGUGAUAAGCCGGAGGAAGGUGGGGAUGACGUCAAGUCCUCAUGGCCCUUACACGCUGGGCUACACACGUGCUACAAUGGCGGUGACAGUGGGCAGCAAGCACGCGAGUGUGAGCUAAUCUCCAAAAGCCGUCUCAGUUCGGAUUGUUCUCUGCAACUCGAGAGCAUGAAGGCGGAAUCGCUAGUAAUCGCGGAUCAGCAUGCCGCGGUGAAUACGUUCCCAGGCCUUGUACACACCGCCCGUCACACCAUGGGAGUUGGGUUCACCCGAAGGCGUUGCGCUAACUCGCAAGAGAGGCAGGCGACCACGGUGGGCUUAGCGACUGGGG